CUCAGGGCUGGGUGAAAUUCCCGACCGGCGGUAUACCCCGCGACUCCGCAAGGACUGAACCGGUGCAAUUCCGGUGGCGACAGUAAAGUCUGGAUGAAAGAGAGU
rnacentral:ncRNA from 1 species